UAGAGUUUGAUCCUGGCUCAGAUUGAACGCUGGCGGUAUGCUUAACACAUGCAAGUCGAACGGAAACGAUGUUAGCUUGCUAACAGGCGUCGAGUGGCGGACGGGUGAGUAACGCGUAGGAAUCUACCAAGUAGUGGGGGAUAGCCCGGAGAAAUCCGGAUUAAUACCGCAUAAUCUCUACGGAGUAAAGAGGGCCUCUAUUUAUAAGCUUUCGCUAUUUGAUGAGCCUGCGUAAGAUUAGCUUGUUGGUGAGGUAAAAGCUCACCAAGGCAACGAUCUUUAGCUGGUCUGAGAGGAUGAUCAGCCACACUGGGACUGAGACACGGCCCAGACUCCUACGGGAGGCAGCAGUGGGGAAUAUUGGACAAUGGGCGCAAGCCUGAUCCAGCAAUACCGCGUGUGUGAAGAAGGCCUGAGGGUUGUAAAGCACUUUCAAUUGUGAAGAAAAGCUAAAG
rnacentral:rRNA from 1 species